ACAGAGAAACACUUGCUAUAGUUCUGUAGCUCUCCUUCUUGCAUUUGGGAUUACAUUUACAUUUAUGAAUUUAAAUUUAAUUUUGAAACUGGUACGUGUCCAAUAUUGAUUGAUGUAAACCAACUUCAACUUGUGUGAAGGUGUGUUAGUUGAUCAAGUCAAAUGUUCACUUAUGUAGAGAGUGUGGGAAGAAGAGAAGCCAUGAAAGACUGAAAUGACUUACCCUCACAGCAAUUUUCAGUGACACAUCCUGAAUAGUGACUAAUGGAGGGUAGAGACGACCUUCCUGUAAAUUCUCCUCUGAAACUUGCUGAGCUAUAACCUAGAAAUGAAGUAGACAUGUUUAACUUGACAUGCAGAUGAAGCUGCACUUAUUAGACAGUGAUCUAGUCUUAAGCAAAAAAAUGUUUCUGCUUUGGCAAAUCACAGAGAUAUUCCUUAAUCGACCUAGGCAGUGUUUUUUAGAACCAGCUUUGUCAUUAGGAGUAGCUACACAAGAACUAGAAAUUUAGGUAGUUACGCCCUUUUCUCACUCAGACAAUAAGACUUAUUCAAGUUUUGAGUAAGUCCAUGACACACAUAAACUACUAAAUAGUUCAUAGUGAGAUAAACAUUCCAGCUAACAAUUGUAAUUGGAUCAAAGACUUCUAGAAUUCAAAGCACCUAUUAUUCUGACAGUUGUCAAGUCAACCUGUACAGAGAACAGCUGAAACCCUUAAGUGUAAAAUGCUCUGAAUGAAAUUACUGGUGACUGAGUAGGUUUGCUGUGCAUCCAGCUCACAGAUUUAGCCUGUAUGAGAUCAUAAAAGUAAGUAUGGUCAACCACGGAACAAAGCAAAAUAAGAUUAUCCAGAGCCUUUUAAAGGCUUGCCGGUCACUGUAGUUGGAUUUUGAAAUAGAAGGUCUAAUGCUAAAUUGUUGGACAGAAAAAGAUGCUGUUAGAACAGUCUGUCCACUCCACUUGAAGGCUGAAGUGGGUCUGUUGUCUCAAGCAUAUCAAGUAACUAAAGAAAUUAUUUUGCUCUUUGCUUGAUUUUUCACCGGACUGACCAGGGGAGGAACAGCGCAGGGAUUUUGAUGCAUGUCUGAGAGCGGCAUCUCCUUUAUGGCUUGAAUAUUCCUGCUUCAUCUUCCUAGCAAUACUGGAAAUGUUUUGUUGCCAUCACCAGCAAUGAACAGAUCAGGAAAGCACAGCAAGCUGGAGAAGUUGGUUUUUACUGUUUACUCAUUGGCCACAUGAAAAACCUUCUGUUACCACAGAGUGUGAGGACAUUCUCUGCAGUGAGGAGACACUGCUUGCACUGUCUGCUUAUGGGCUUACUUCAUGAACUUCCUCUAUUCCUGCAACAGAGACCUUUCAAGAAGCAAAGGGUCGUGGGGCUGCCUUUGGGACUAAUGAUAUUUCUGUUAUCAUCAGGAAAAAAUUUGCUUGUCAUUUGGGGAACAGAAAAUUGAAAUAGAAAAUAGCCUUUUGCGGUGAUCCAGAUGUGGAUAUAAGAAAAACUCUGGUCCGGAUAGCAUCUGAUGACAACAUGUAUGACACAACAAGAUGUUCUGAAAACACUAGGAAAAUCUAGAAACACUGAGGAAUACAACUGAUAACAAAGAGAAAGCAAGAAGUGCACUUUUGAGGGAAUUUACUAUGAAGAUACUUGAAACAGAGCAAACUGCUUCCAACAGUUCUUGUUGCAUAUGGGAAAUAUACAUUACUUGCAAACAACUAGAAUAGCCUCAGAACAGAUGCCUGGAUAUCAUCAAUGCAUCCCUUCUGGCAGAAGUAUAAACAGAAGCUUUCUGAAAUCCCAAGACAAAAGGAAAGUAUGAACAUUGUAUUUUACACUGAAAAAUUGGCAACGCUUUCGGCUGACCUACACUGGACAUAUUAUUACAGCCUGUGCUACUGGCUACAGUUACACUUUAGCAUCAUGAAUUUAACUUUCUUAAAAAUUGCCUUUGAAAGAUGAACUGCUGGAAUUCUUACUGGAUACGUUCACCAUUGAAGAUGCAUUGAAACUAGACGCAGGCCACACUCUUUUGGAAGGACUGCGGCGGAUCAUGAAGGAAAGAGGUUUAUACUAAUUCCAGAUAAUCUUAUUUUGGUGUUUGACACAAAAACUUUCUGUUAAUUGCAAUUACUGGUAAAUUCUAUGACUAAGUAUUCAAAGUUAUUAAUACAUAUGCAUUCCAAAGACUUUAGAAAAUUUAAUUGUCUUAAUUGGUAUGCUCAGGAUACUUUGCCUAAAAAUGUAUACAUCUUGGUUACUUCAGUAAGUUUAAGUCCCCAGUUCAUGAUUUAUUGACCAGAGAUCCAUCUGCCUUUUAAGAUUAGUUAAUAUUCCUUUUCAUUAGCCAGUAAUCUGACUUCUAGUCUUUGUUGUCUGAUGAGUAUUGAAAUGUUUACAUCCAUGGUUAGAAUUACUUGGUCUACUUGAGUACUCAUUAUUUGAGUGUGUUAAAUGGAGAACAGCAUAGCACCUACUGAGAGUAGUCAUAUUGGAGAAGUUUAAGAAUGCCAGUUAAUACAACUUUACUCUUUUUUAAGGUUACUCAUUCACAAAACUAUAGAGUUGGAUUCUACAGACUCCUAAGGCCACCUUGCAUCCCAAAAAAUAGCAUCUUAAACCACAGAAGCAAUCAAUUGCUUGCAUAGACGAAUCAUCCUGUCACCUCAUGCCAGCAAGAAACUUUACUUCUGAGAAAGGAAAGGGCAUUUAAUAGCUUUUGCAGAAAAAAUAAGUGAA